GAAUUUUGGACAAUGGGCGAAAGCCUGAUCCAGCAAUGCCGCGUGCAGGAAGAAGGCCUUCGGGUUGUAAACUGCUUUUGUACGGAACGAAAAGCUUUGGGUUAAUACCCUGGAGUCAUGACCGUACACUAAGAAAACGCACCGUAUAACUACGUGCCCGGAGCCGAGGCGAUACGUAGGGUGCAACCGUUUAUCGGAAUUGCUGGGCGUAAAGCGUGCGCAGGCGGUGUUGUGAAACAGAGGUGAAAACCCCGGGCUCAACCUGGGAACUGCCUUUGUGACUGCAAGGCUAGAGUACGGCAGAGGGGGGUGGAAUUCCGCGUGUAGCAGUGAAAUGCGUAGAUAUGCGGAGGAACACCGAUGGCGAAGGCAACCCCCUGGGCCUGUACUGACGCUCAUGCACGAAAGCGUGGGGAGCAAACA
rnacentral:rRNA from 1 species